GAUGAACGCUGGCGGCGUGCUUAACACAUGCAAGUCGAACGGAAAGGCCCUGCUUGCUGGGUACUCGAGUGGCGAACGGGUGAGUAACACGUGGGUGAUUUGCCCUGCACUUCGGGAUAAGCCUGGGAAACUGGGCCUAAUACCGGAUAGGAGCCAUUUUGAGUGUGAUGGUUGGAAAGUUUUUUCGGUGUAGGAUGAGCUGGCGGCCUAUCAGCUUGUUGGUGGGGUAAUGGCCUACCAAGGCGGCGACGGGUAGCCGGCCUGAGAGGGUGAACGGCCACCUUGGGACUGAGGUGCGGCCCCAGCUGCUACGAGUGGCAGAUGUGCGGAAUCUUGCACAAGCGGCGCAGGGUUGGUGAAGAAAGGCUGCGUGGGGGAUGACGGCCUUCGGGUUGUAGAAUCCUUUCGCUAGGAACGAAGCUUUUUGUGACGGUACCUAGAGAAGAAGCACCGGCUAACUACGUG
rnacentral:rRNA from 1 species